rnacentral:tRNA from 1 species
CAGGAGAUAGUUUAUUUAGAAUAUCAGCUUUGGGUGUUGAUGGUAGGGCUUGCGUCUUUCUCUUGA